rnacentral:tRNA from 1 species
GCCUUCGUGAUGUAGUGGUCAGCCCGCUCGACGUGUAAUCGAGAGGUCCGUGGUUCGAGUCUCGGCGAAGGUA